rnacentral:lncRNA from 1 species
CUAUCACAGUUCAUUACAGCCUCAACGUCUCGGACUCAGAUGAUCCUGCCACCUCAAUCUCCCAAGUAGUUGGGACCACAGAAGUGAUUCAGCACUCAGGAUUAUUGCCCACACCCCUACGAUUGCACCCCCAAGCAAUCACCAGCAAGCACCCAAUGCCUAGCCAUCCCCACCCCUUCCCCCAAACUACCUUUGAAAAACCCCUAACCUACCAGCCUUCAAUGAGAUUGAUUUGAGUAAUAACUCCAUCUCCAGUGUGGAGUGGCCAGCCUCACAUCAAUUAAAC